rnacentral:rRNA from 1 species
AACGAACGCUGGCGGCAGGCCUAACACACGCAAGUCGAACGGGAUCUUCGGAUCUAGUGGCGGACGGGUGAGUAACGCGUGGGAACGUGCCCUUUGGUUCGGAAUAGCCCCGGGAAACUGGGAGUAAUACCGGAUAAGCCCUACGGGGAAAGAUUUAUCGCCAAAGGAUCGGCCCGCGUUGGAUUAGGUAGUUGGUGAGGUAACGGCUCACCAAGCCGACGAUCCAUAGCGGGUUUGAGCGCAUGAUCAGCCACACUGGGACUGAGACACGGCGCCGACUCCUGCGCGAGGCAGCCAGGGGGAACCCGAGCAAAUGGGCACAAGCCUGAUCUAGCCACCCCGCGUGAUCGAUGGAGGCCUUAGGGUUGUAAAGCUGUUUCAGCUGGGAAGAUAAAUACGGUACGAGCACAAGAAGCCCCGACUAACUCCGUGCCAGCCGCUGCCGUAACAC